AUUGAACGCUGGCGGCAUGCUUUACACAUGCAAGUCGAACGGCAGCGCGGGUUUCGGCCUGGCGGCGAGUGGCGAACGGGUGAGUAAUACAUCGGAACGUGCCCAGUAGUGGGGGAUAGCUCGGCGAAAGCCGGAUUAAUACCGCAUACGACCUGAGGGUGAAAGCGGGGGAUCUUCGGACCUCGCGCUAUUGGAGCGGCCGAUGGCAGAUUAGACUAGUUGGUGGGGUAAAGGCCUACCAAGGCGACGAUCUGUAGGUGGUCUGAGAGGACGACCAUCCACACUGGGACUGAGACACGGCCCAGACUCCUACGGGAGGCAGCAAGUGGGGAAUUUUGGACAAUUGGGCGAAAGCCAUGACUCCAGC
rnacentral:rRNA from 1 species